rnacentral:rRNA from 1 species
AUGAACGCUGGCGGCGUGCCUCAUACAUGCAAGUCGAGCGAACGGACGAGAAGCUUGCUUCUCUGAUGUUAGCGGCGGACGGGUGAGUAACACGUGGAUAACCUACCUAUAAGACUGGGAUAACUUCGGGAAACCGGAGCUAAUACCGGAUAAUAUUUUGAACCGCAUGGUUCAAAAGUGAAAGACGGUCUUGCUGUCACUUAUAGAUGGAUCCGCGCUGCAUUAGCUAGUUGGUAAGGUAACGGCUUACCAAGGCAACGAUGCAUAGCCGACCUGAGAGGGUGAUCGGCCACACUGGAACUGAGACACGGUCCAGACUCCUACGGGAGGCAGCAGUAGGGAAUCUUCCGCAAUGGGCGAAAGCCUGACGGAGCAACGCCGCGUGAGUGAUGAAGGUCUUCGGAUCGUAAAACUCUGUUAUUAGGGAAGAACAUAUGUGUAAGUAACUGUGCACAUCUUGACGGUACCUAAUCAGAAGGCCACGGCUAACUACGUG